rnacentral:misc_RNA from 1 species
GAAAUGCGAUAAGUAUUGUGAAUUGCAGAAUUCAGUGAAUCAUCGAAUCUUUGAACGCACAUUGCGCCCCUCGGUAUUCCGGGGGGCAUGCCUGUUCGAGCGUCAUUGCAGACCAUCAAGCGCGGCUUGGUAUUGGGCCUCUCGUCCCUAAUAACUUUGGGGACGUGCCCUAAACAUUUCGGCGGCCUCGUGCCGGUCUCGAGCGUAGUAGAAAACUAUCCCGCUUUAAGAGAUCGCCGGGCGCUUGCCCCAAGAACCCCAAUAAUCUAAACGGUUGACCUCGGAUCAGGUAGGGAUACCCGCUGAACUUAAGC